AUUGAACGCUGGCGGUAUGCUUAACACAUGCAAGUCGAACGGCAGCAUGAUUAGUAGUAAUACUGAUUGAUGGCGAGUGGCGGACGGGUGAGUAACGCGUAGGAAUCUGCCUUCAAGCGGGGAUAACCUUAGGAAACUGGGGCUAAUACCGCAUAGACUCUGCGGAGUAAAGCUAGGUAGAGAUAUCUGGCACUUGAAGAGGAGCCUGCGUCCGAUAGCUAGUUGGUAAGGUAAAGGCUUACCAAGGCGAUGAUCGGUAACUGGUCUGAGAGGAUGACCAGUCACACUGGGACUGAGACACGGCCCAGACUCCUACGGGAGGCAGCAGUGGGGAAUAUUGGACAAGUGGGGGAACCCUGAUCCAGCAAUACCGCGUGUGUGAAGAAGGCC
rnacentral:rRNA from 1 species